AAAGUACUCCCUCCGUCCCAAAAUUCUUGUCUUACAUUUUUCUAGAUACGGAUGUAUCAAGUCACAUUUUAGUAUUAGAUACAUCCGUAUCUAGACAAAUCUAAGACAAGAAAUUUGGGACAGAGGGAGUAGUUG
rfam:Triticum aestivum genome assembly, contig: Triticum_aestivum_CS42_TGACv1_scaffold_021460_1AS